rnacentral:rRNA from 1 species
GAUGAACGCUGGCGGCGUGCCUAAUACAUGCAAGUCGAGCGAACGGACGAGAAGCUUGCUUCUCUGAUGUUAGCGGCGGACGGGUGAGUAACACGUGGAUAACCUACCUCUAAGACUGGGAUAACUUCGGGAAACCGGAGCUAAUACCGGAUAAUAUUUUGAACCGCAUGGUUCAAAAGUGAAAGACGGUCUUGCUGUCACUUAUAGAUGGAUCCGCGCUGCAUUAGCUAGUUGGUAAGGUAACGGCUUACCAAGGCAACGAUGCAUAGCCGACCUGAGAGGGUGAUCGGCCACACUGGAACUGAGACACGGUCCAGACUCCUACGGGAGGCAGCAGUAGGGAAUCUUCCGCAAAGGGCGAAAGCCUGACGGAGCAACGCCGCGUGAGUGAUGAAGGUCUUCGGAUCGUAAAACUCUGUUAUUAGGGAAGAACAUAUGUGUAAGUAACUGUGCACAUCUUGACGGUACCUAAUCAGAAAGCCACGGCUAACUACGUG